ACACAGAACACAGCCAGCAGAGGACACACUUCCCCGCCAUCCAGAAAUGGGUUUGAUUCUCAGCCGAGGGACAGCAGGACUGGUAGAGACUGUCAGGCCACACAGAGGCCUGCACAGCACCCCCAUGCUUGGUGGGGGGCGGGAGGGAUGGCGGGGCUGGCUGUCCACAGGCCAGGCAUGACAGGGAGGCUCACUGAAGGUGGUGCACUUUGGAGGGGCAAUGUCAGGGGACAGCUUUCUCUUGUUGGGCCACAGACUCCAAAAAGACAGCACGGUGACUGAUUCCCAGGGCUAGAGACAAGGCGGUCGGCCACAUGUUGGUGGCACCCAGGGCAGUGCACCCACCGUUCAGAGCAAUGCUCAGCCCCUUCCGGUUUCCCUCUUCUCUGGUCACCCUGUCUUCAAACUCACUGGCCCCGGGCCACCUCUUGCUUUUGGGAACCCAGCGCAACAUCCACCAGGCCUGAUAGAGAAGGAACACCACUUGAACCAGGAUGAUGAAGAUAGAGGAGGUGGGACCUGACUAUCACCCCUGCUCUGCAGUGGAUUUGGCUCUCAGCACUCCCAGGCUGGGAGCUGGAUGCCCUCCCCUGGCAGCAUGACUCAGACUUCACAACAGGUACAGCGUGCCCAGGAUGACAUUCCUAGGCCUCUGGCGGCCUCAGAGUGCAGCCCCACACACAACCCCCUCCAAGCUCUCAGCCCUUACACCAUAAGCCACGAGCCCUCUGACAGCUCCAUAGAGCACCCAUGUCUGCCUGUUUGGGCGCAGAGCCUGUUCCAAGAGCCCACAAGCUCAGCCAUGGAGGCUGGGGGGCUUUGGGGCUAGUGGGGGCCAGCCCUGGUACCUGCGUCCAGCCGGGACACUCUGUACCUGAAGCUAGGAGUCGUCCACGGGCCCCCGUAGCUGUGCUGACGGUGGUCGUGUUGAUGUCGCGGAUGAUGCUGAGCCUCUUUCAGCAUGUGGUGCUUGCGCAGCAUCUCGUCUCGCCGCUGUGCCUGCUCUGCCGACUCCUCCAUCAGCGUGUUCUGGUCCCCCCGUGAGUACAGGUUGGACAGCAGCUCUGAGAAGACGAACUCCUUGGUCUGAGAGUGGGCAAAGAAGGAAGGAGGUUGGGUCCUGAUGCCUGUGCUGCCCUGGCCUCCCGCUGGCCCCUGCUGGGACUGUGUGCUGGAGUUGGAGCCCUGAGUAUGGCUUUUCAGAUGUGGCUUCUACACAGCUUAAACUCAAAGAUCUGCCUCCCCACUGCCCUUUUCUCACUCAGAUAGGGACACUGAGGUCCAGAGGGAAGGUCAGCUGUCCAACUCACAGAUCUGGGAGGGGACCCUGGACCUAUCAUGCUACCAGGACACCUGUCUACUCAGUUUUUUCAAAUUUUUUUUGGAGAUAGGCUCUUACUCUGUCGCUAGGCUGGAGUAUAGUGGGCGAGAUCACCGCUCACUGCAUCCUCAACCUCUUGGGCUCAAAGUGAUCCUCUAAUGUCAGCCUGUCAAGUAGCUAGGACUAUAGGCACGUGCCACCACCAAGCCCAGCUAUUUUUAAAAUUUUUGUGUAAAGGCCAGGUCUCAUUAUGUUGCUCAGGCUGGUCUCAAACUCCUGGGCUCAAGCUAUCCUCCCACCUUGGCUUCCCAAAGUGCUGGGACUACAGGCAUGGGCCACUGUCCUCAGUCCCACGUUAUAUUUCUAUGAGACAGCUCUGGUCUGGACCGUGCCUCCCUCCCUGAACCUGGUCCCAUAGGGCUGGUCGGCAUCUCCCCCAGGCUAACAUGGCCACCUGCAUCCCCAGUGCUGCAGGAGCCCCCACCCCCAUGAGGCGGUGCAUGUACGUUGUAGAUCAUGAUGUGCGUGAUGGUCUUGGGCUUGACACCAACCAUGAGGUCCCGCACGGUCUUGUUGACAAUGGCCAUGUAGGAGUCCACCAGGUUCUGGGUGGUUUCCAUUUGCCGCUCCAGCUGUGGGUCCAUGGAGUGCAUGAAGCUGUCGGAGCCAUUCUCCUCGGCCUUGCUGUCCUGUCACGGAGAAUGCAAGGGCAUCAGCGUGGCCAGGCCAUGCAGCCAGGCUCCAGGAAUCCUUAGGAUCUCAGUCCCUCCAAGCGUACCUGGAACACUGAAGCACAGAGAGAAGCAACUGGCCUGAACAUGCACCCAGCUCCCCACACACUCUAGAUGGUUUCAGUCCUCUGCCUCUCAGGACCCCAGACUCCCCUGAUUCAAGUCUCCUCUUAGUUCUGACUCUAGUGCCCAGAAUUUGCCUCAAGUUACCAAUCCAGAAAUUGGAAAAGAACAUCUCCAGGUCCCUUGCUUGAAGACCUGGCCAGAGCUUGUGCCAGGCUGCAGAUGCCUGGCAGGAGGCAAGAAAAGGGCAUACUCACUUUCCCCUUGUCCUGGGAGGCCCACACACCAACAUUGCCACCACCACUGCCACCAGGGAACACAGCAAAGUAGACACACAGAGAGAGGAAAACGGGAAGGGUUGAGUGAACCUGGGACACUGCACCCCAACUUUAAUGUAUUGUUGAAUUCAAUUAGCUAAUACUUUGUUGAGGAAUUUGCAUCAAUAUUCAUCAGUGAUACUGGCCUCUAGUUUUCUUUUUUGGAUGUAUAUUUAGUGUUGGUAUCAGGGUAAUACUAGCCUUGUAGAAUGAGUUUGGAAGUAUUCCCUCCUCCUCUAUUUUUGGAAUUGUUUGGGUAAGGUUGGUGUUAGUUCUUCUUUAAAUGUUUGCUAGAAUUCAGCAGUGAAUCAUCAGGUCCCAGGCUUUUCUUUGCUGGGAGACUUUUCAUUACCGCUUCGAUCCCAUUAUUUGUUAUUGGUCUGUUCUGGUUUUGGAUUUCAUCCUGGUUCAGUCUUGGUAGUCUGGAUGUGUCUGGAAAUUUAUCCAUUUUUAGUGGGUUUUCCUAUUUGUUUGCAUAUAGUUGCUGAUAAUAGCCACUAGUGAUCCUUUGAGUUUUUGUGGUAUCAGUUGUCAUGUUUCCUUUUGUUUGUCAAUGUUGUUUAUCUUUUUAAAAAAACAACUUUUCUUUUUUUUGAGAUGGAGUCUUGCUCUGUUGCCCAGGCUGGAGUGCAAUGGCACAAUCUUGGCUCACUGCAACCUCUGCCUCCCAGGUUCAAGUGAUUCUCCUGCCUCAGCCUCCUGAGUAGCUGGGAUUACAGGCACAUACCACCACCCUGGGUAAUUUUUCUAUUUUUAGUAGAGACAUGGUUUCACCAUGUUGAUCAGGCUGGUCUUCAACUCCUGACCUCAUAAGCUGCCCACUUCGGCCCUGCAAAGUGCUGGGAUUACAGGCGUGAGAAUCUGUGCCCAGCCCACAUUUUGUUUUUAAAUUUUACUUAUUUACUUUUUUUUUUUCUUUUGCAGACAGGGUCUCAUUCCGUUGCCCAGGCUGGAGUGCAGUGGUGCAAUCAUGGCUCACUGUAACCUUGAACACCUAAACUCAAGAGAUCCUCCCACCUCAGCCUCAUGAGUAGCUGGGACUACAAGCCUGCACCACUACACCUGGCUAAUUUUUCUAGUUUUUUGUAGAGAAAGGGUUUUGCUAUGUUGCCCAGGCUGGUCUUGAACUCCUGGCCUCAAGCAAUCCUCCUGCCGUGGCCUCCCAAAGUGCCGGGAUUACAGGCAUAAGCCACCAUGCCGGGCCUAUAUAUACAUUUUCUUUUCAAGUCAUAUAAAGUAUUCUGUAUGCAUCCUUCUGGAAUUUGUUGUUCUCACUUAAUAUUAUAUUGCUAAAGUUCUUAUUGUU